GGGUAGAGCUCAGUGGUAGAGCACAUGCCUAGUAUGCAUAAGGUCCUAGGUUCAAUCUCUAGUACCACCA
rnacentral:tRNA from 1 species